AUACGGAGGGUGCAAGCGUUAUCCGGAAUCAUUGGGUUUAAAGGGUCCGUAGGCGGGCUAAUAAGUCAGGGGUGAAAUCCCACAGCUUAACUGUGGAACUGCCCUUGAUACUGUUGGUCUUGAGUUACAGUGAAGGGGUUAGAAUGUGUAGUGUAGCGGUGAAAUGCAUAGAGAUUACACAGAAUACCGAUUGCGAAGGCAGAUCACUAACUGUAUACUGACGCUAAUGGACGAAAGCGUGGGGAGCGAACAGGAUUAGAAACCCCAGUAGUCC
rnacentral:rRNA from 1 species